UACGAAGGUCCCGAGCGUUAUCCGGAUUUAUUGGGUUUAAAGGGUGCGUAGGCGGUCUAUUAAGUCAGUGGUGAAAUAUCGCAGCUUAACUGUGAGGGUGCCAUUGAUACUGAUGGACUUGAGUGAAGUCGAAGUAGGCGGAAUUGACGGUGUAGCGGUGAAAUGCUUAGAUAUCGUCAAGAACACCGAUAGUGAAGACAGCUUACUAGGCUUAUACUGACGCUGAGGCACGAAAGUGUGGGGAUCAAACAGG
rnacentral:rRNA from 1 species